rnacentral:rRNA from 1 species
AAUAGAUACCCAGGUAGUCCACGCCGUAAACGUUGGGCGCUAGGUGUGGGGUCCUUCCACGGAUUCCGUGCCGCAGCUAACGCAUUAAGCGCCCCGCCUGGGGAGUACGGCCGCAAGGCUAAAACUCAAAGGAAUUGACGGGGGCCCGCACAAGCGGUGGAGCAUGUGGCUUAAUUCGAUGCAACGCGAAGAACCUUACCAGGGCUUGACAUGGAGCUGCAAGCUCGUGAAAGCGAGUCGCUUUCGAAGGUGCUUCACAGGUGGUGCAUGGCUGUCGUCAGCUCGUGUUGUGAAAUGUUGGGUUAAGUCCCGCAACGAGCGCAACCCUUACGUUUGUUGCCAGCGAGUAAUGUCGGGAACUCGAAACGAACUGCCUCUGUAAAGAGGAGGAAGGUGGGGAUGACGUCAAGUCAUCAUGCCCCUUACGCCCUGGGCUGCACACAUGCUACAAUGGCCGGUACAAAGGGUUGCUAACCCGCGAGGGUAUGCUAAUCUCAAAAAGCCGGUCUCAGUUCGGAUAGGAGGCUGC